rnacentral:rRNA from 1 species
UACGGAGGGUGCAAGCGUUAUCCGGAUUUACUGGGUUUAAAGGGUGUGUAGGCGGGUUUUUAAGUCAGUGGUGAAAUCUCCGGGCUCAACCUGGAAACUGCCAUUGAUACUAUCCGGCUCGAGGAAUGGAGGGGAGACUGGAAUACUUGGUGUAGCAGUGAAAUGCGUAGAUAUCAAGUGGAACACCAGUGGCGAAGGCGAGUCUCUGGACAUUUCCUGACGCUGAGGCACGAAAGCCAGGGGAGCAAACGGG